UCACAUAACUUGACAAGAGCGGUGGAC
rnacentral:sRNA from 1 species